GUCCACGCUGUAAACGAUGGAUACUCGUUAUUGGGGUUUCGGCUUCAGUGACUAAGCAAAGUGAUAAGUAUCCCACCUGGGGAGUACGCUCGCAAGGGUGAAACUCAAAGGAAUUGACGGGGGCCCGCACAAGCGGUGGAGCAUGUGGUUUAAUUCGAUGGUACGCGAGGAACCUUACCUAGACUCGAAUGGUGUAUGAACGUCUCAGAAAUGGGAUUUCCAGCAAUGGUAUAUAUCAAGGUGCUGCAUGGUUGUCGU
rnacentral:rRNA from 1 species